GGGCAGUUAGCUCAGCGGAAGAGCGUUCGCCUCACACGCGAAAGGCCAUAGGUUCAAAUCCUAUACUGCCCACCA
rnacentral:tRNA from 1 species